UGUAGUGGAGGAAACGGAAGAGGAAGGUAAAACCGUGUUCGCUGUGUGUUGUGUUGCUUUUCCUGCAUGAGUUUAAAUUUAAGAUUAACUCCAAAAUAUGAUUAAAUUAGAAUUAGAUAAUCUUGAUACCACAUGUGACCUAAAACCAUUAGAAAGACCAGUUUCUUCUUCCUUUAUAGACUAGAGUCUUUCACAUGCAUGCAGUUAAUUUUUUCACAGUUAAUUCAUUCACUUACUCAUCCUCGUUUAUGCUAUUAUUUAUUUCUUCCUUCUUUCUUUCAUUUAUUCUAUCAUUCCUCCUCCUGAAGUGGAAGUGCCGCCUCCAUCAGAGGAAGGUAAAGCAUCAGUCUGACCUUUAUUUUGUGAUUUUCUGCACAUACAAAUUUGCAGUUCCCAAUACAAGGUGUUUAAUAUUUCAUGUUAUAUUUUCAUAUUAGAACCAGCCCCUGAGGAGGAAGGUAAACAUUCCCUCGUUUGAUUUGUUAAUUCAGUUAUUUAAAUGUUUAAUGCUUAAUUUUUUACUUUUUUAUAUUAUCAUAGGUACAAUAUCUAUAGGUACAAACCACUGCAACAACACAUUCUUAUUUGCAUGAUACCAAAUUCCUCAGUACUUACCAUUUGAACCAAAACCUGCAUUCAGGUAACUCGAGUUCAUUAUGAACAAACGUGGCAUUCAGUUGCACAUUUGUAACUGCAAUUCAGUUGCCAAGAGAAUUUCUUGUCAUAGACUGGCAGUUGAUUUCUCCAAAUUUCAUGUGUUUUAUCCAAAAACAUACAUAAAAGAAUAUCUGUUCCUAAAUGCCAGGUCUUAUGUUAUGGUAUGUUUAUAAUUUCUCAAGCUACAGUCUUUAUAAACUAACUGAUGUGCUGUUCUUAUAAUAGAGCCUGUGGAAGUACAAGGUAAUUAUUUCAGUUUUUAUUAAUAUCAUGGUUAUUUAUAUCUCAUAUACAAGUGUCUGUAUAUCUUCAUUCUUUAACCACUUAUAACUAUCUCAUAUCUGAACAGAAGAGCCAGAACCUGAACCACAAGGUAAAGCUCCUCAGGUUUAUAUUCAUUCAUAGAAUAUUGAUUAUGAACAAAUCAUUUAGCAUGAGUUUCGUGAUAUUCAGAUUCUCAUUCUUGGCAGCUGGUUUUGUAAUAUGUAAUGAGUGUAUAAUAUGAUCUGUUCAAUAGUAAGAAAUGUCAAAAUGAUGUGUCCUAUGAUGGACGGCUCAUUUUCUUGUUAAUGAAUUCAAACUGUGAUGAUCUGAAUCAAAAUUCUACCAUUAUUGCAACUGCAUGAUCUGUCAUUGUGAAGGCUGCAGGACAGAAACUGUGUUUAUUUGUAAGGUUUGUAUGUCAUGAUGCAAUA
rnacentral:lncRNA from 1 species